rnacentral:rRNA from 1 species
GCAGUUCGACGAUGAAGCCCUUCGGGGUGGAUUAGUGGCGAACGGGUGAGUAAUACGUGGGCAAUCUGCCCUUCACUCUGGGACAAGCCCUGGAAACGGGGUCUAAUACCGGAUAAAACUUCCCUCCUCCUGGAGGGUGGUUAAAAGCUCCGGCGGUGAAGGAUGAGCCCGCGGCCUAUCAGCUUGUUGGUGAGGUAAUGGCUCACCAAGGCGACGACGGGUAGCCGGCCUGAGAGGGCGACCGGCCACACUGGGACUGAGACACGGCCCAGACUCCUACGGGAGGCAGCAGUGGGGAAUAUUGCACAAUGGGCGAAAGCCUGAUGCAGCGACGCCGCGUGAGGGAUGACGGCCUUCGGGUUGUAAACCUCUUUCAGCAGGGAAGAAGCGAAAGUGACGGUACCUGCAGAAGAAGCGCCGGCUAACUACGUGCCAGCAGCCGCGGUAAUACGUAGGGCGCAAGCGUUGUCCGGAAUUAUUGGGCGUAAAGAGCUCGUAGGCGGCUUGUCACGUCGGUUGUGAAAGCCCGGGGCUUAACCCCGGGUCUGCAUUCGAUACGGGCUAGCUAGAGUGUGGUAGGGGAGAUCGGAAUUCCUGGUGUAGCGGUGAAAUGCGCAGAUAUCAGGAGGAACACCGGUGGCGAAGGCGGAUCUCUGGGCCAUUACUGACGCUGAGGAGCGAAAGCGUGGGGAGCGAACAGGAUUAGAUACCCUGGUAGUCCACGCCGUAAACGGUGGGAACUAGGUGUUGGCGACAUUCCACGUCGUCGGUGCCGCAGCUAACGCAUUAAGUUCCCCGCCUGGGGAGUACGGCCGCAAGGCUAAAACUCAAAGGAAUUGACGGGGGCCCGCACAAGCAGCGGAGCAUGUGGCUUAAUUCGACGCAACGCGAAGAACCUUACCAAGGCUUGACAUACACCGGAAAACCCGGAGACAGGGUCCCCCUUGUGGUCGGUGUACAGGUGGUGCAUGGCGUCGUCAGCUCGUGUCGUGAGAUGUUGGGUUAAGUCCCGCAACGAGCGCAACCCUUGUUCUGUGUUGCCAGCAUGCCCUUCGGGGUGAUGGGGACUCACAGGAGACCGCCGGGGUCAACUCGGAGGAAGGUGGGGACGACGUCAAGUCAUCAUGCCCCUUAUGUCUUGGGCUGCACACGUGCUACAAUGGCCGAUACAAUGAG